rnacentral:misc_RNA from 1 species
AUCUCCAAAAUGAUUUGUAGAUAACUCUUGGUUGUAUAUGAACCAUCCAGUUUAAGUGUUGAGCCAGCAGCUGCGACUGCAUCUUUAUUAACCCCUUUAAUCUGUAAAUAGGGACUAGGGGCAUCUUUUAGAUGAUCAACCUCAACGAGAAUCUAAGAGUCAGAAACAAAUUUAAAUAUUUAGGCUACACCAAUAACAAGCAAUAAGAAAACAGAAACCAAGUUGCAUAAAAUGAUACAACAAUAGAGGCGCCAAAGCUAGGGAUUCGCCAAGCCACCAAGAAUCUUACUUAUAAUCAGUCUCAGCACAUCCCAACAAGCAAAACAUGGGUCAAAAAAUAUAUUAUAAUCAUCACUAUAAUAGCAACAACAAUUGAUG